GUAGGUGAACCUGCGGAAGGAUCAUUAUUGAAUGAACUUGGCAUGAUUGUAGCUGGUCCUUUCGAGGGCAUGUGCACAUCUGUCAUCUUUAUCUUUCCACCUGUGCACCAAUUGUAGGUCUAAAAAAUUUUCCCCGAGACACUCGGGGGAGCAUGGGGCGUUGCUGUGUGUUACCACCAGCUUGCCCUGCAUUUUCUAGAUCUAUGUUUUCACAUACACCAUAAAAUGUAAUAGAAUGUUAUUAUUGGGC
rnacentral:misc_RNA from 1 species